rnacentral:rRNA from 1 species
AUUGAACGCUGGCGGCAGGCCUAACACAUACAAGUCGAACGGUAACAGGAAACAGCUUGCUGUUUCGCUGACGAGUGGCGGACGGGUGAGUAAUGUCUGGGAAACUGCCUGAUGGAGGGGGAUAACUACUGGAAACGGUAGCUAAUACCGCAUAACGUCGCAAGACCAAAGAGGGGGACCUUCGGGCCUCUUGCCAUCGGAUGUGCCCAGAUGGGAUUAGUUAGUAGGUGGGGUAACGGCUCACCUAGGCGACGAUCCCUAGCUGGGCUGAGAGGAUGACCAGCCACACUGGAACUGAGACACGGUCCAGACUCCUACGGGAGGCAGCAGUGGGGAAUAUUGCACAAUGGGCGCAAGCCUGAUGCAGCCAUGCCGCGUGUAUGAAGAAGGCCUUCGGGUUGUAAAGUACUUUCAGCGGGGAGGAAGGGAGUAAAGUCAAUACCUUUGCUCAUUGACGUUACCCGCAGAAGAAGCACCGGCUAACUCCGUGCCAGCCGCCGCGGUAA